UACGUAGGGAGCAAGCGUUGUUCGGAUUUACUGGGCGUAAAGGGCGCGUAGGCGGCAGAUUAAGUCAGCUGUGAAAUCUCCGAGCUUAACUCGGAACUGUCAGCUGAUACUGUUUUGCUAGAGUGCGGAAGGGGCAAUCGGAAUUCUUGGUGUAGCGGUGAAAUGCGUAGAUAUCAAGAGGAACACCUGAGGUGAAGACGGGUUGCUGGGCCGAUACUGACGUGAGGAGCGAAAGCGUGGGGAGCGAACAGG
rnacentral:rRNA from 1 species